ensembl:lncRNA
UGUGUAUAUGCAUUUACAUGCAAUAUAUUGUAUAUGUGCAAAUUGUAAGAAUUCUACCUACUGUAACUGAAUAAUGAAAAAAAAGGAAACUGGCUAAUCUAAAAAAAAAAAAAAUCAAGCCUUUAAUAAUAAGAAAAGCCCUCUGUGCUCCGCCUGUCCCUCCCUCCACCCCCCACCCCACCACCGCCCAGCAACUGCUGACCUGGUCCGUCAUCAGCCUUACGGGCAGGGCGACCUGCUCUGUGUCUGUCACCUGGGACAGGUGUGUGCGACCUGGGUGGGCGGCGUGGCGUUUUUACGGCUCCGAGACUGCGCGCUGACAGAGUGCGCCACCAUCCUCGAGCCUGGGGGGACCCGCUUCUCCGGGGACGCGGCUUCCUCAGGCCGACCUCUGCUCCCGGCGGUGAGAGAGAACGCCUCCCUGUCUGGGCACCUGUGUGUGGCGAGGACCCUCUGGAGCGAAGCCUGAGGCGAGGGUCUGGUGCCCGCGGAUGGACGGGCGGGAAGUCACAGGGCUGGGGUGGCAGGAGGGGACUCCUGACAGCUGUCCUUCCCCCGGGGAGGGAGGGGGGCGGUAAAACCCACGCAUUUUCAGGCCAGCGGGUGUGCAUUUGGACACGUGGAUGGAGGGGGCCCAUGAACACGGGUGGGACAAGGCUGCUGUCUGCUGCAGCAGGAGGCCCCGUCUCGGUUCCCGCCCUGCCCGCCGCGGCUCUGACACCACGCGCUGCAGGGCGGAACCCAGAGGUUUCUUUUCACUCUUACUUUCCUGCCGCGCUCUCCCGUGGAGCUGAGUGCAAACUCAACCCUCGACCACCCCACUGGCGUGAACGCAGGGCAGGAUGUCCCCUCGGGCUGGCGUCCAGGGGGGUCACUCGCCUGCGUGGUAACAAAUCAGGCUGGCCGUGCUGCUUCCUUUGGGUGAGAGAGGCGGAUGUCGGAAUGCAGACAUGUCCUCCAGGUGUCCUCUCCCGGAACCAACUUUCUUCGACUUUGGUUUUGAACUUCAAGAAAAGGACAGCCCAGGAUAGAUACGGACGUGUGGUAAAAAAUCAGGCUGGCCGUGCUGCUUCCUUUGGGUGAGAGAGGCGGAUGUCGGAAUGCAGACAUGUCCUCCAGGUGUCCUCUCCCGGAACCAAUUUUCUUUGAUUUUGGUUUUGAACUUCAAAAAAAGGACAGCCAAAAAUAAAUAGGGACGUGUGAGUAAGAGAAAGAAAAUUUAUAAAAUUUUAAAGUGUCAAAAGAGGUAAACAAAAGAACGUGUUUCCAGCAUGGAAAGCAGGCACGUUUUAUUGAAAAUCAGAUUUAACUAGAAUUACUUUUAUGAGACCUUUUUUGGUUACUUCCCAACCAUAUUUGAUAACUCGGUAUGAAAACCCCAAGGUGUCGUGAGCCCUGUUUUGCUGUGAUAACCCCAAACGUGCUUCCAUUCAGGAAACAUCCGCUGUGGCUGGAUAUGAAUUAUCGAGUCCUAGGACAGAGGAAGAAUCAGGCCGGAACGUUCCAAACUCCACAGACUGCCUCUUUCCUGGACGCGCCACCCAGAUGGAAAAUCCCAAAGAGCCUCAACCGUCUUGAUUUUUAAAUCCGUUCCGAUUUACUCUGCUUUAGAAAGAGCACGACAAAGAAUUCAUCUUCUUUGCAGAAUCAGGUGGCAGGUCUCUGGGCUCCUCCCUCUGGCUGGCUGUCAGGAACCAUCCCGUCGGCAGGAUUGAUUUGGGGAGAACCUAAAUUUGAGCUCGCAGGCGUGGUUCUCCCACCCCCCGGGUUCCAUGAGGCUGAGACUAUCUGCUUGUUCUGCAAGGGGUCGACGCGUGAAACAAGGUAACCAGAGCUCUGUCUUCCUCACCUACAGUGCUCAAGGGAGCCUAGGUUGUACUGCAACCCCAGAAUCUCAGACACUUUGUGCCCCCCACCCCCGAAGACUGA